rnacentral:rRNA from 1 species
UUCUUUUUCCACCGGAGCUUGCUCCACCGGAAAAAGAGGAGUGGCGAACGGGUGAGUAACACGUGGGUAACCUGCCCAUCAGAAGGGGAUAACACUUGGAAACAGGUGCUAAUACCGUAUAACAAUCAAAACCGCAUGGUUUUGAUUUGAAAGGCGCUUUCGGGUGUCGCUGAUGGAUGGACCCGCGGUGCAUUAGCUAGUUGGUGAGGUAACGGCUCACCAAGGCCACGAUGCAUAGCCGACCUGAGAGGGUGAUCGGCCACAUUGGGACUGAGACACGGCCCAAACUCCUACGGGAGGCAGCAGUAGGGAAUCUUCGGCAAUGGACGAAAGUCUGACCGAGCAACGCCGCGUGAGUGAAGAAGGUUUUCGGAUCGUAAAACUCUGUUGUUAGAGAAGAACAAGGAUGAGAGUAACUGUUCAUCCCUUGACGGUAUCUAACCAGAAAGCCACGGCUAACUACGUGCCAGCAGCCGCGGUAAUACGUAGGUGGCAAGCGUUGUCCGGAUUUAUUGGGCGUAAAGCGAGCGCAGGCGGUUUCUUAAGUCUGAUGUGAAAGCCCCCGGCUCAACCGGGGAGGGUCAUUGGAAACUGGGAGACUUGAGUGCAGAAGAGGAGAGUGGAAUUCCAUGUGUAGCGGUGAAAUGCGUAGAUAUAUGGAGGAACCACCAGUGGCGAAGGCGGCUCUCUGGUCUGUAAC